rnacentral:rRNA from 1 species
UGGGGAAUAUUGCACAAUGGGGGAAACCCUGAUGCAGCGACGCCGCGUGGGUGAAGACGGCCUUCGGGUUGUAAAGCCCUGUCUUCGGGGACGAAUAAUGACGGUACCCGAGGAGGAAGCCACGGCUAACUACGUGCCAGCAGCCGCGGUAAUACGUAGGUGGCGAGCGUUGUCCGGAAUUACUGGGUGUAAAGGGAGCGCAGGCGGGGGUCUAAGUUGGAUGUGAAAUGCCGCAGCUCAACUGCGGAGCUGCAUCCAAAACUGGAUUUCUUGAGUGGGGUAGAGGUAGGCGGAAUUCCUAGUGUAGCGGUGAAAUGCGUAGAUAUUAGGAGGAACACCAGUGGCGAAGGCGGCCUACUGGGCCCUAACUGACGCUGAGGCUCGAAAGCGUGGGGAGCAAACA